CGCCGUGACCGGCCGUCGGCCCUCCGUCGACUUCGCAGAGGAAGAGCCGCCCUCUCCGCCGCCGGACGGCCGCCGGCGCGUCGCCCGCCUCCUCAGGAGGCACUAACGCCGCCACCAGUUCCACUGGCUCCGUCGUCCACUGGCAAAGCAGGCCCAGAAGCAGCCGAGCUCGAGCUUGUGAUUCUUCAGCAGUCACAGUUUCGAGGACGCUGAAGGCUAGCAGGUCAGCGGUUUACUCGACGUUGGUGGAUAUCUAUCUACAACAGUCAUCAGGACGACACCGCUGGACCUUCCUUCUACUCCUUUCAAAACAAGAAGAUUAUCGGUCUGAUGAAGGACGAGGCGAAUGGAUUGCCGAUUGUGGACUUUGUACAUCUACACUCAAAAAUGUAUGCGUAUUACGCAUUGGAAGGUGCCACCCAGAGGCGGGCGGGCUAAGGGUGUGCAUCACAUGACUUCAAGAGCCCUCUUUAUCGAAGACUAUUUGCGGUGCCUGUGCAGUGGCGUUCGCAGGGCUGCACCGCAACCAUUGUGUAUGGUUUGGCCAGUAUUUGAUCGAUGAUGAUAAAAGGGUCAUUUGUGAUGACAGGAUUGAAACUCGCCUGUACUCACAUUACUCACUUGUAGCGAGAGAAGGGGUGGGGAACUCUCAUUGAGUGAAAAUGAG